rnacentral:rRNA from 1 species
GAUGAACGCUGGCGGCGUGCCUAAUACAUGCAAGUCGAGCGAACGGACGAGAAGCUUGCUUCUCUGAUGUUAGCGGCGGACGGGUGAGUAACACGUGGAUAACCUACCUAUCAGACUGGGAUAACUUCGGGAAACCGGAGCUAAUACCGGAUAAUAUUUUGAACCGCAUGGUUCAAAAGUGAAAGACGGUCUUGCUGUCACUUAUAGAUGGAUCCGCGCUGCAUUAGCUAGUUGGUAAGGUAACGGCUUACCAAGGCAACGAUGCAUAGCCGACCUGAGAGGGUGAUCGGCCACACUGGAGCUGGGACACGGUCAAGACUCCUACGGGAGGCAGCAGUAGGGAAUCUUCCGCAAUGGGCGAAAGCCUGACGGAGCAACGCCGCGUGAGUGAUGAAGGUCUUCGGAUCGUAAAACUCUGUUAUUAGGGAUGAACAGAUGUUUAAGUAACUGAGCACAUCGUGACGGUACCUAAUCAGAAAGCCACGGCUAACUACGUG